GAUGAACGCUGGCGGCGUGCCUAAUACAUGCAAGUCGAGCGAAUGGAUUAAGAGCUUGCUCUUAUGAAGUUAGCGGCGGACGGGUGAGUAACACGUGGGUAACCUGCCCAUAAGACUGGGAUAACUCCGGGAAACCGGGGCUAAUACCGGAUAACAUUUUGAACCGCAUGGUUCGAAAUUGAAAGGCGGCUUCGGCUGUCACUUAUGGAUGGACCCGCGUCGCAUUAGCUAGUUGGUGAGGUAACGGCUCACCAAGGCAACGAUGCGUAGCCGACCUGAGAGGGUGAUCGGCCACACUGGGACUGAGACACGGCCCAGACUCCUACGGGAGGCAGCAGUAGGGAAUCUUCCGCAAUGGACGAAAGUCUGACGGAGCAACGCCGCGUGAGUGAUGAAGGCUUUCGGGUCGUAAAACUCUGUUGUUAGGGAAGAACAAGUGCUAGUUGAAUAAGCUGGCACCUUGACGGUACCUACCAGAAAGCCACGGCUAACUACGUGCCAGCAGCCGCCGUAAUAC
rnacentral:rRNA from 1 species